rnacentral:ncRNA from 1 species
CAGUUAAGGUCCCUAAAUGACCGCUCAGUGAUAAAGGAGGUAAGGGUGCAGAGACAGCCAGGAGGUAUGCCUAGAAGCAACUACCCUUGAAAGAGUGCGUAAUAAUUCACUAAUCGAGAGCUCUUGCGCCGAAGAUGAACAGGGCUAAGCAAAACUCACU